AUACCUUUCUCGGCCUUUUGGCUAAGAUCAAGUGUACUAUCUGUUCUUAUCAGUUUAAUAUCUGAUAUAUGGUCAUCGACCCAUACGAUAUUAACUAUAUUUAUUUAGGGAGAAGGCCCAUCAAAAUAGUUUGCUAUCUGGGCUUUCGGAAGUCGCUCUUACGUUGCACUACUGCACGGGUCUGGCUCAACCCAU
rfam:Brassica rapa chromosome A6, whole genome shotgun sequence.